rnacentral:rRNA from 1 species
CCUACGGGGGACAGCAGUGGGGGAUAUUGCACAAUGGGGGAAACCCUGAUGCAGCGACGCCGCGUGGGGGAAGACGGUCCUCUGGAUUGUAAACCACUGUCACCAGGGACGAAGAUGACGGGACCGGGGGAGGAAGCGCAGGCUAACUACGUGCCAGCAGCCGCGGUAAGACGGCGGGAGCGAGCGUUGUCCGGAAUUACGGGGUGUAAAGGGAGCGUAGGAGGGACGGCAAGUUGGGUGUCAAAUCUACCGGCUCAACCGGUAGCCGCACUCAAAACUGCAGUUCUUGAGUGAAGUAGAGGCAGUCCGACUUCCUCUUGUAGCGGUCAACUGCGUAUAUCUUCGGCG